UGGGGAAUAUUGGACAAUGGGCGCAAGCCUGAUCCAGCCAUGCCGCGUGAGUGAUGAAGGCCCUAGGGUUGUAAAGCUCUUUCACCGGUGAAGAUAAUGAUGGUAACCGGAGAAGAAGCCCCGGCUAACUUCGUGCCAGCAGCCGCGGUAAUACGAAGGGGGCUAGCGUUGUUCGGAUUUACUGGGCGUAAAGCGCACGUAGGCGGACUUUUAAGUCAGGGGUGAAAUCCCGGGGCUCAACCCCGGAACUGCCUUUGAUACUGGAAGUCUUGAGUAUGGUAGAGGUGAGUGGAAUUCCGAGUGUAGAGGUGAAAUUCGUAGAUAUUCGGAGGAACACCAGUGGCGAAGGCGGCUCACUGGACCAUUACUGACGCUGAGGUGCGAAAGCGUGGGGAGCAAACAGG
rnacentral:rRNA from 1 species